UUUUUCGGAGCUGGGGACCGAACCCAGGGCCUUGCGCUUCCUAGGCAAGCGCUCUACCACUGAGCUAAAUCCCCAACCCCAAGGAAUACACUUUUUAAGGAAGAAUUUUUCUCUCCAGAUUUAUUUUGUGUGUAUGUGUGUAUGUAUAUGUAUUUAUGAACAUGUGUACAUGCGUAUGCAUAUAUGUGUGUAUGCAUUGUGUUGUGUAUGCAUAUGUAUGUGUGAAUUUGUGUAUGUACGUACAAAUGUGUGUGUGUGUAUAAAUGCUUGUGUAUUCUUGUGUGUAUGUGUGUACAAGCAUAUAUAUGUCACACUUAAUAUAGUUGCCUGAAGAAGCCAGAAGGUGGUGAUACAGUUAAGAGUCAUUUGACAUGGGUGCUUGAAAUUGUACUUAAAUCCUCUGGAAGAUGAGUUAAUGUUUUUUGCUUUUCCUUCUCUGAAAAAAAUUUAGUCACCUAGGCGGUGGUAGAGCAUGGUUGCAAUUCUAGCACUUGGGAGGCAGAAGCAGGUGGAUCUCUGAAGCCAGCAUGGUCUACAGAGCAAAUUCCAGGACAUCUAAGGCUACACAGAGAACUCUGUCUUAAAAAGAAGCUUUAAU
rnacentral:lncRNA from 1 species